GAUCCUGGCUCAGGAUGAACGCUAGCUACAGGCUUAACACAUGCAAGUCGAGGGGCAUCAGUUUGGUUUGCUUGCAAACCAAAGCUGGCGACCGGCGCACGGGUGAGUAACACGUAUCCAACCUGCCUCAUACUCGGGGAUAGCCUUUCGAAAGAAAGAUUAAUAUCCGAUAGCAUAUAUUUCCCGCAUGGUUUAUAUUAAAGAAAUUCGGUAUGAGAUGGGGAUGCGUUCCAUUAGUUUGGUUGGGGGGGG
rnacentral:rRNA from 1 species